UACGUAGGGCGCAAGCGUUGUCCGGAAUCAUUGGGCGUAAAGCGCGUGUAGGCGGCCCGGUAAGUCCGCUGUGAAAGUCGGGGGCUCAACCCUCGGAUGCCGGUGGAUACUGUCGGGCUAGAGUGCGGAAGAGGAGAGUGGAAUUCCUGGUGUAGCGGUGAAAUGCGUAGAUAUCGAGAGGAACACCUGCGGCGAAGGCGGGUAGCUGGGCCGACACUGACGCUGAUGCGCGAAAGCGAGGGGAGCGAACGGG
rnacentral:rRNA from 1 species